GACGAACGCUGGCGGCGUGCUUAACACAUGCAAGUCGAACGGAAAGGCCCUGCUUUUGUGGGGUGCUCGAGUGGCGAACGGGUGAGUAACACGUGAGUAACCUGCCCUUGACUUUGGGAUAACUUCAGGAAACUGGGGCUAAUACCGGAUAGGAGCUCCUGCUGCAUGGUGGGGGUUGGAAAGUUUCGGCGGUUGGGGAUGGACUCGCGGCUUAUCAGCUUGUUGGUGGGGUAGUGGCUUACCAAGGCUUUGACGGGUAGCCGGCCUGAGAGGGUGACCAGCCACAUUAGGACUGAGAUACGGCCCAGACUCCUACGGGAGGCAGCAGUGGGGAAUAUUGCACAAUGGGCGGAAGCCUGAUGCAGCAACGCCGCGUGCGGGAUGACGGCCUUCGGGUUGUAAACCGCUUUCGCCUGUGACGAAGCGUGAGUGACGGUAAUGGGUAAAGAAGCACCGGCUAACUACGUG
rnacentral:rRNA from 1 species